CAGAUAGAUACAUUUUUGAAGGAAGAGGCGAACUGAAGACUUUGGGGAAUUAGCAAAGAAGAGGAUCAGAUCAUCUCGUGAAUAGUCCCAGCACCCUUGAAGACCCCUGUGGCCAACCGCUGCUUUUAUUUUCAGAGUUGAGUGAAGAACCGAUGAAAUGGUAUCUGCUGUGGACCUAUUGUGACAAUAGACCAUUUGGAGUGGAUCCAAGUGACUCCUCAGCCAGGAGUUUCAUACCAGUCUCACAGUGGACAGUGCAACUGGACAAUAGUCAUUGAAAGAUUGCUACAUCAAGCUACCAGAGAAUGCAAUAUCCUGCCUCACGGCAAUAUACUUGGGAAGUCCCACAUCACCAGGUUCAGGAACAGCCUCUUUCCUAAACGCCUUCAGAUUCUUGAACUGAUCUUCACAAACCUAAUCCUACCUCAACAAUGGAACACCACAGUUCACCUUCAGCACCAGCAUGGACUUCUUUCUAAUUAUGUCUUUGCAAGUUUUGCACAUUCUUCACUGUUUUGGAUAAGUUAUAUAUAAUUUAUAUUUAGUGUGUUGUCUGAAUCUACAAGCCUGUGAUGCUGUCGCAAGCAGGUUUUUUAAUUGUACCUGUACCUCAUCAUACUUAUCUAUAUCAUAAUAAACUUCAUCUGGUGAUACUUUACUCAAAAG